rnacentral:lncRNA from 1 species
GUGGCAGCCUCCAUGGAUCAUCUCUUGUGAGCUAUGCCUUCCUUGUGUAAAUUGUUAAACUUCAUGUGUGUCUCUCUUUGUCUCCAAUGUGAGUUUAUCUCAGGACUUCCCAGGUCGAUAUUGAAAGUUUUCCUGCAGGGGUUAGUCCAACAAAAUAUACCAAUGUCUACACAAGCAGUUUUUAGUUCAAUAACCAAACUAGACUCCAUGUCUAAUUAGAUUAAGGAAGGCUGUUUAACCUAAGCACCAUGCUUAAUUUAGAAACCA